rnacentral:rRNA from 1 species
UACGUAGGGACCAAGCGUUGUUCGGAUUUACUGGGCGUAAAGGGCGCGUAGGCGGCGUGACAAGUCACUUGUGAAAUCUCUGGGCUUAACCCAGAACGGCCAAGUGAAACUGUUGUGCUAGAGUGCAGAAGGGGCAAUCGGAAUUCUCGGUGUAGCGGUGAAAUGCGUAGAUAUCGAGAGGAACACCAGAGGUGAAGACGGGUUGCUGGGCUGACACUGACGCUGAGGCGCGAAGGCGUGGGGAGCGAACGGG